GCACCUGCAAAAUCAGGUGCCGGGAUUGGAACCCUGAAUCACUUCACUGGCGACACAGGCUCUGUGUCGUACGGCCUGUUGCAU
rnacentral:sRNA from 2 species